rnacentral:ncRNA from 1 species
CGACUCCCUCCCGGCAAAGGCUAACCACCAGCCGGAAGCAAGCCUUGCAUGCGAGUGCGGUAACGCACUACUUGAAGCGUAGGCAGCGGGUACUUAAGCCGUGUGAUUGAGCCUCGAUAUGAAGUAACCGUUGGUGUCUUCACUUUUCAAAUACUGGGGACUGCACUGUGUGAGCCGUAAUGGUGAGGCUCGCCAGGCCGACCGGGGUCUGAGAGCA